UGUGUGUGUGUGUGUGUGUGUGUGUGUGUGUGUGUGUGUGUACACGCGCGUGCACGCACCCACCCACCCACUAC